rnacentral:rRNA from 1 species
GAUGAACGCUGGCGGCGUGCCUAACACAUGCAAGUCGAGCGAGAGGAGAUAGCUUGCUAUCGAAUCCAGCGGCGGACGGGUGAGUAACGCGUGGGUAACCUGCCACAUACACACGGAUAACAUACCGAAAGGUAUGCUAAUACGGGAUAAACUUUAACUAAGGCAUCUUAGAUAAAGGAAAGAUUUAUCGGUAUGUGAUGGACCCGCGUCGCAUUAGCUAGUUGGUAAGGUAAUGGCUUACCAAGGCGACGAUGCGUAGCCGACCUGAGAGGGUGAUCGGCCACACUGGAACUGAGACACGGUCCAGACUCCUACGGGAGGCAGCAGUGGGGAAUAUUGCACAAUGGGCGCAAGCCUGAUGCAGCAACGCCGCGUGAGCGAUGAAGGCCUUCGGGUCGUAAAGCUCUGUCCUAAGGGAAGAAUAAAUGACGGUACCUUAGGAGGAAGCCCCGGCUAACUACGUGCCAGCAGCCGCGGUAAUACGUAGGGGGCUAGCGUUAUCCGGAAUUACUGGGCGUAAAGGGUGCGUAGGCGGUCUUUUAAGUCAGAAGUGAAAGGCUACGGCUCAACCGUAGUAAGCUUUUGAAACUGGAAGACUUGAGUGCAGGAGAGGAGAGUAGAAUUCCUAGUGUAGCGGUGAAAUGCGUAGAUAUUAGGAGGAAUACCAGUUGCGAAGGCGGCUCUCUGGACUGUAACUGACGCUGAGGCACGAAAGCGUGGGGAGCGAACAGGAUUAGAUACCCUGGUAGUCCACGCCGUAAACGAUGAGUACUAGGUGUCGGGGGUUACCCCCCUCGGUGCCGCAGCUAACGCAUUUAAGUACUCCGCCUGGGAAGUACGCUCGCAAGAGUGAAACUCAAAGGGAAUUGACGGGGACCCGCACAAGCAGCGGAGCAUGUGGGUUAAUUCGAAGCAACGCGAAGGACCUUAACCUAAACUU